UUUUUAUGUAGUUGUUGUGUGUGUUUUAGAGAGGAGGGCUACAUCCCGAGCAACUACGUGACUGAGAAGGAGUCAGACACGCUGGAGCAGUUCAUAUGGUUUUGUAAAAAUGUCAAUCGCAACAAAGCUGAAGAGCAGCUCAGGAAAGAGGCGAAAGACGGUGGAUUUAUGGUUCGAGUGUCCAGCAAUACAGGGACGUACACUGUGUCACUGUACACCAGGAAUACAGCGUGAGACACACACACACACUCUCUCUCUCACACACACACACA